CGAAAUCCAGAGUCAGAUGCUUAACCAACUGAACCACACAGGCACCUCGCUCUGUCCUUCUUUAAGAACACCAGACUGACGUUUUUAGCAGUGUACAUUAGGAUAUAAGCAUCUAAGCAUGUAGAUACCCUUUCUAGCUUCCUUUCCAGUUACUUUCUUAUAUAAAUUACUCUGUAUAUCCACCUCCAGCAUUGUUUCGCUUUCCAUUUCAUUUGUGCUGCUCUUUUUAGUAACUAUUUCUACAAAUGUAGGAGAUCUUCUUUGCUCUUUAUAGCUGGCUUAAAGUCCUCUUUUUAGUUCCAUUAUUCUCUGAGCAAAUGCAUUCUUAGCAUCAGUGCUAUACUCCGCUCUUACCUAAAAUCAUCCUCCUGUUAUUAUGCCAUAGCUUAUGACUCAACCCAAAUUCUGUCUUUCAAGUAGUACAAUAAAAAAAGUAAUAACAAUGGGAACUAUUUCCCUAAGUAUGUAUUGUCCACAAUUUCGUGUUCCCUAAAGGAUGCUUCUUUGUUGUCCCACGAAUCAGCAGGAUUUGCUGUGGUCAGCAGAGUCUGGAAGCCUCAGCACACUGGCACUUGCCAGGAAGUCCAUCAACACACUGGUGCCCAGGGGUGUUUUAAGGCAUUUGUCUCCGGGGCCGGUGACCGGCUUCCUUGAGGUUCCUCGAACCAACAUCAUUGUCCAGAAAAGGUUUGGGCUGCCCACGAACCUCAUGUUCGCCUGCACUCUGUGGUGUGCUUUCUUUACUUCCCCCUCAGUCUUCUCCUUUUGACUGAGUUUGUUGCUCCUGCGUAAAGCCAACGAGGCACUGCUGCUUUUCCCAAAGGCCCCAGUUUACUCUCUUUUUCUUGCCGUGGCACUUGAUCCUUUCUCAUUGCAACCAUCCGGAUACUCUUUGGUCUGCCUCCUGAGCUCGCUUCUACACCCAGGAACUGGUAUUCUCCUCAUUCCGUUGGGCAUGAAUACACGCAGUCCCCUCAGGUGGUACACCUAGCGUUGUUCCAGAUACCUCGCACCGCCCGCACUAAGACCACAUUGUCUCCGGCAGUUACCCAGGAGAACAUGUUUGGGAUGUGGAAGCCUGUGGUGUUCUUGGCUAUUGCGGCUGUGGCUCUGUAUGUGUUACCCAGCAUGCGACCGCAGGAGUCCGAGUUCUGCCUCAUGGAGUGAUGGCAGACCUGGGCCAGCCGAGGGGGCAGAUCCCCAGUGGCCACUACCCCCAGCUUUGGGCAGGACACACUGUGCCAGAGCCCCCACCCCACCCAUGUGUCCCAUGUGUCCCCAUCUCCUUAGCCUCAGUCACCCAGGCUGGAAAGGUUAUGGGGCGCUGCCGGCUGCCAUCUCCUGCCUUGUAUAAGAACCUGGGUUCCGUGUGAUUAAAUAUCAGCCUAAUUACCUGAGA